UUGAAAGGCGUUCAUGUGCGCAAUUGCAAUGAAGGAAGAAGUAAACGAGCAGCCAAAGACGACGACGACGACGAAGAAGAGGAAGAAGAAGAAGAAGAAGAAGAAGAAGGCAUGAAAGAAAGGCCCGGGCCUGCUCGGGUGUUCGCAGGCCCGAUCCUCGGUGUCUUGGGACCCACCACGCCAUAGGAUGCCUCCUUCUCCGUCGGUCGGCGGCUCAGCAUCCUUUAAUAUCUCUCGGCGGCCUCCUCUCGUCCAGCGUUUCCUCUUUGUCGCUCGUGUUCCUGUUCAGAGCCUCCCCUCCCGCCGGACAGGCCCUCGCGGUCGGCCACUUUCGAUAGCAUCUUGAUGGAAUGCCUGCGGGGUACACCACUCAUUCUUUCACGUCCCUAAGGACCUGGGAUGUACUGCAAAGAGACGGAGGCACGGCUAGAAUAGGUCCUUCACUUCGCUGAAGUUCUACGCACACAACAGUAAACGGUAGAUGAGGCAGAACAUGGGCUCUAUAUCGACUUUGAUCUACCCAGUCAGCAGGAAGGAAAAGAAGAAAAAGAGGAGAAAGAAAGGAACGUUGGAAAGGGGCUGCUAGUUGGUUCCGUGACUGUUCAUAGGCAGUAAAUCCCUCCGGAUGAUUAGAGGUCGGCGCCAUGGCUUGUUACGGCUCGAUAUGGAAUUCAAUGGAGGAGAAAAGUAACGAUGAAAACGAUUACCGAUUUCUACCUUCGUUACUUCGUUCUCGAUUAUUUUUCGUAAUAGCGUUUGCCACGAUAUCCCGACCCUCGUUCUCUCGUUAACACUCGCGAGAUUUCUUUUUUCCCUAAAUUUCAAAUUAUCAAAGUUGAGAAAUAAAUAAACGAACGAAUAAUGACAAUAAGGAAAA